CAACCAUUAAGCCCUGUUGCUUAGUGUUAGGAGCCUACUACCUUACGGCGUAGCUCCCUAAAGGCAGUGGCGGUGUUAGGUACACUCGUAGCGUAGUAAUUCUUUUUCUCGCUCCUGCUGUGUACCUAGGGCCUGCCGUAAAACCCCUAUACUUCUAGU
rnacentral:misc_RNA from 1 species